GGGGUUGUAGCUCAGUGGUUAGAGCAUCUGCUUGGCAUGCAGAAAAUCCCAGGUUCAGUCCCUGGCAGCACCU